GCUGUCAAAAAAAAAASAGACGMACGSUGGCGGCSUGCCUAACACAUGCAAAGUCGAACGGUAACAGGGACUUCGGUCCGCUGACGAGUGGCGCACGGGUGAGUAACGCGUGGAUAUCUGCCUAUUAGUGGGGGACAACUACAGGAAACUGUAGCUAAUACCGCAUAAUCUCUACGGAGCAAAGCAGGGGACCUUUCGGGGCCUUGCGCUGAUAGAUGAGUCCGCGUCUGAUUAGCUAGUUGGUAAGGUAAAAGCUUACCAAGGCGAUGAUCAGUAACUGGUUUGAGAGGAUGAUCAGUCACACUGGAACUGAGACACGGUCCAGACUCCUACGGGAGGCAGCAGUGGGGAAUAUUGCACAAUGGGGGAAACCCUGAUGCAGCGACGCCGCGUGCGGGAAGAAGGCCUUCGGGUUGUAAACCGCUUUCAAUUGGGAAGAAGAGAUGAGUACUAAUAAUGCUCUGAUUUGACGGUACCUUUAGAAGAAGCACCGGCUAAUUUCGUGCCAGCAGCCGCGGUAAUACGAAAGGUGCAAGCGUUGUUCGGAUUUACUGGGCGUAAAGAGAUCGUAGGUGGUUUAUUAAGUCGGAUGUGAAAAUCCCGGGGCUCAACCCCGGAACUGCAUUCGAUACUGAUAGGCUAGAGUUUGGGGAGGGGGUAAGCGGGAAUUUCCGUGUGUAGCAGUGAAAUGCGUAGAUAUACGGAGGAACACCUGAGGCGAAGGCGGCUUACUGGACCMAUACUGACACUGAGGAUCGAAAGCGUGGGUAGCAAACAGGAUUAGAUACCCUGGUAGUCCACGCCCUAAACGAUGUCAACUAGCCGUAGCGGGUAUCGACCCCUGCUGUGGCGAAGCUAACGCGAUARGUUGACCGCCUGGGGGAGUACGGUCGCAGAUUAAUCYA
rnacentral:rRNA from 1 species